rnacentral:rRNA from 1 species
UAUUGCACAGUGGGCGGAAGCCUGAUGCAGCGACGCCGCGUGGGGGAUGACGGCCUUCGGGUUGUAAACUCCUUUCGACAGGGACGAAGCGCAAGUGACGGUACCUGUAUAAGAAGCACCGGCUAACUACGUGCCAGCAGCCGCGGUAAUACGUAGGGUGCGCGCGUUGUCCGGAAUUACUGGGCGUAAAGAGCUCGUAGGUGGUGUGUCGCGUCGUCUGUGAAAUUCCGGGGCUUAACUCCGGGCGUGCAGGCGAUACGGGCAUAACUUGAGUGCUGUAGGGGAGACUGGAAUUCCUGGUGUAGCGGUGAAAUGCGCAGAUAUCAGGAGGAACACCGAUGGCGAAGGCAGGUCUCUGGGCAGUUACUGACGCUGAGGAUCGAAAGCAUGGGUAGCGAACAGG